rnacentral:rRNA from 1 species
AAAGGAAUAGACGGGGACCCGCACAAGUGGUGGAGCAUGUGGUUUAAUUCGAAGAUACACGAAGAACCUUACCUGGCCUUGACAUGGUAGGAACCCUGUAGAGAUACGGGGGUGCUAGCUUGCUAGAGCCUACACACAGGUGCUGCACGGCUGUCGUCAGCUCGUGUCGUGAGAUGUUGGGUUAAGUCCCGCAACGAGCGCAACCCUCGUCCUUAGUUGCUAACGGUUCGGCCGAGCACUCUAGGGAGACUGCCUUCGCAAGGAGGAGGAAGGUGAGGACGACGUCAAGUCAUCAUGGCCCUUACGGCCAGGGCUACACACGUGCUACAAUGGGGCGUACAGAGAGCUGCGAUACCGCGAGGUGGAGCCAAUCUCUUAAAGCGUCUCUCAGUUCGGAUUGUUCUCUGCAACUCGAGAACAUGAAGCUGGAAUCACUAGUAAUCGCAGAUCAGCUAUGCUGCGGUGAAUACGUUCCCGGGUCUUGUACACACCGCCCGU